CAUUAGGGCAAUAAUCCCAUUUCAUAGGUGAUCAUGAAGUUGAAUGUGAAGCUUGGUCAAGCCCGCGGUCCUCAGUAAAUGACAGCUGCGGGCACCAGGAUAAUCCCGGGGGGAGCUCUCUAGCCAGUGCUCACUGAGCCUGUUCCGUGGAACUGGGAACCUACCAUCUACUGAUGCAUCUUCUCUUUUUGUAUAUUUCUCAGCGGCAAGGUAGACGAUGAUGAAUGUGAAGAAUUUGAAGCCUUCCCAAAACUACAGAAUAUCAUAAAAAACUACCUGCCCAUCAACUACGCUUUCAAGUUUUCCUAUUUUGCUGGAUUUUCUCAGAUUUAUUUUUUGGAAAUGAAAACUCAAAUUACAGACUUAACUAGGGUUCCUGUCACCUCUCCCAUCUCAUCCUCCUCCCUCCAAGAGGAAGCCACUAUGUCCAUACUACAAAUUUUCAGGUGCAGAAUGUAAUAAUUCAACAAUCCUCUACGUGACUCAGUGUUCACCACGGUGUUGUCACUGCCCGUCACCAGGCACGAGAAGCUGGAAACUUCCCGAAGCACCAAACUUCACCAAGCACGCUCAAAGACCAAGACCAAGGAUCCACCCCAAACCGAGCUCUGUCACCUGUCAGAGACAGCCCCAGCACAAGGCUAAGACCUACGGAAGUGGCCAGGAGAAGUCUGGGCCAGAGAAGGCGGACAACAGCUCCUGACCCGCGUGCGAACCUUAAUUCCUGGGUCAAACGCUGGAGAAACGGCCCCCUCCCCUGUGACAGGAAACCACCCGUGAAGGUCCCUAAAACCUUGUGAAACUAAUUGUGUGGUGUUUGCUUAUACCUGAAUUCUGGCAAGAGGAGCCGCAAGGCUGCAGGAAACCUCGAACUGCCGCAGCCUCCUGCCCUCCAAAAUCCAAAAUCCAAAAUCCAUUCACCUGAAUGACAUGUCGGCUGUGCCCCACACGCCUCCCUAAAUAUAAGCGUAAGAGGAGCAUGAAUGUGCCGCCUCCGACCA